rnacentral:lncRNA from 1 species
AUGCUCAAAAUUACUCUACAAGACACUUUUUACUUUUUCCCAUAAUAUUGAAGUUGCUGAUAAUUACCAAAAUGACACCGCCACUUUUUUGCUUUUUCCCCCAAUUCGUAUGUUUCGUACGUUAAUUUUAUUUCUAUUUGAUCCUUUACCGAAAGAACAUCAAGAUAUUAUGUUCUAUGAUGUAUUUGAAUUUAUAUUCCUAAUUGAAUUGU